rnacentral:rRNA from 1 species
GGUCUGUGAUGCCCUUAGUUAUCCUAGGUCGCACGCGCCAUACAAUGUGGCGCACAACGAGUUUCCUAGGCCGAUAGGAUUGUCUCUUAGCCAGUCGUCUUUGGGACCGAGGCAAUAUCAUUGCACACAGCAGUUUCGAUCAUGUGUCGUUGCUUAUUUGUGAUGCUGGUGGUUGUGUCUCAGCUAAGAGACUCUGGGCAAUCUGAGAGAGCGCUACGUGACUGGGCUAGACUUUUGUAAUUGUUGGUCUUGAACGAGGAAUGCCUAGUAAUCGUAGGUCAUUAUCCUGCGAUGAUUAUGUCCCUGCCCUUUGUACACACCGCCCGUCGCUCCUGCCGUGGCUCGUGCCGGUGAAGAGGGGGAGGCAGCGUCAACGGAGUAACAUCUGAUUGUACGUGGAACCCCUCUGAACCUUCGCGAGUAGAGGAAGGAGAAGUCGUAACAAGGUUUUCGUAGGUGAACCUGCGAAAGGAUCAUUAUCGGCAAAUUCACAACUACAACACUCUAUAUGUUGUGUGUGGUAAACACUUAUGGACUAUGGACUAUGUGAACAUAUGUCUAUAUGUGUUGUAACAAUGUUGACGUCUUAGCAAUGUCUCUAAAGCAU